GACGAACCGUCCUAACGUUGUUCGGAAUCACUGGGCUUAAAGGGCGCGUAGGCGGGCAUGCAAGUCCGGGGUGAAAGCUUUCGGCUUAACCGGAAAAGGGCCUUGGAUACUGCAUGUCUAGAGGGAGGUAGGGGUCUGUGGAACUUCGGGUGGAGCGGUGAAAUGCGUUGAUAUCCGAAGGAACGCCGGUGGCGAAAGCGGACGGACUGGACCUCUUCUGACGGCUGAGGCGCGAAAGCCAGGGGAGCAAACGGGG
rnacentral:rRNA from 1 species